UUUUUUUUUGCAGUCUACUGCAGUGUGCUAGCUUAUAGGAACUUACAUGAUUGAGUGGCUAAAACUUGGACUCAAGAAUGGCCUACAGGCUGUGGAGAACAGUUUGGUGGUUCCUCAAAUAGAUAAACACAGAAUUACCAUAUGACCCAGCAAUUCCACUCCUACGUGUAUACCCAGAGAAUUGAAGCAGGGACUCAAACAGAGGAGCACGUGACCAUCCAGGCCGAGUUCUGUCUGAGCCCCAAUCAGAAUCUCCAGAAGGGACACUGCUUUUGACCAGCCUUGCAGAAUUUCUACAGCCCAACAUCCGCAUCUCUUUUGUCAACACAUUCUCCCCACCGAUGCUCAAUGUCACA